rnacentral:lncRNA from 1 species
GGCUUGCUAUAUUUUUUUUAUUUAACACUUGUUUUAUUUUAGUUUUGUUUGGGCUUGUAUUCUGGCCAUACUUUAUCUUUUAAGUUUUAGAGUGUUGGGCCAUGUUUUGGGCUUAUGUUUUAAUACUUAUAUGUUAUUUUAGUGUGUGAUUGGGCUUGGGCCUUAUGUGUUUAAAUCAGGUCCAAGAAGAGUGUCUUAGGGUUUUAUUUGUUUUUCUCCUUACUAUAUAAGGAUAAGAAACAAUUGUAAGAGACAGUUUUUAAUCAAAUAUUUCAGAAUUCUUUUCAUGCCUUUGGCGUGUAUUGCUUUGAGUGAGAGUGAGGAUUUGCUUUCAUCAAUUGCACCAAGAAUCUUGGCUAACUUAUCAACUAUCCGUUGUGGCGUUUGUCGGAUUCUUAUCUAAAUCCUUCAAUCAUUGGUGUUUCAGCUUCUCUAAGUUUGGGGUGCCAUAGGAGGUGAGUUUACCAACUCUUUGGAUUCCAUAUCUACUUGUGCGUGUGGGUUUGAGGCUUGUGCCAUAGGGUUCCGCGUCAGUUGGUAUCAGAGCCAAAGUGAGGUAAAUUCUUAUUUAUCUCAGGAUCUAGAGUUAUUUUUUUGAGUUUUCAUUUUCUUCCUUGUUGUUUUUGGUGAAAGCUUUUGUGUUCAUGGCUGCACCUUCUUGAUUAUUAAUCAUAAAAAAAAAAAAAUCGCCUUUGCCUUAUUUACCUUGAUCUGGCCGAAAUUGUGAUUUGCUUCCUUUCUUAUAUAUAUUGCCUUACCUAUCUCAAUUAAUUGCAGUAAUUUAUGGGAAUCAAUUUGAAUUUUGAAUUUUAAAUUUGGUCGAAUCCAGAUUAGAAGAUAAAAGAAAUUCUGCCUAUUUCCUAAAGUGCACAUUUAGGGCAAUUGCAUCUAAAUUGAUUUGAUGUGAAAUCCUUCUUUUAACACCAGAAUUUUCGUCCAUGUUUCUGAUCUGAGAGAAAUUUACAUUUUUCUUUUCUGAUUCUAUUUGUGGGGUUUUGAUACUUUCCUUUUUGGGUAGAUUUAAGUAGAUCCGUAUUUAAUUUGCGUUGAAGUGAAUUAAAUGCAAUAUUUUUUGUCCAGGUUCGUUUUUAUUUGAUUUUUAAGUUUCUUUUUUUUUUGUUUAAGCUUGCUUUUGCUUCCUUGACAUUGCUGGAGUAUUGUUUGCUUGUGUCUAUACUCUAGGUGAUAUUUUUCAAGUAGCACAGAACCUAGUUCAUGUGUUACUUUCCAAAUUGUCAGUGUCUUCUUUCUAGUUUUUGCUCGCUUCCUUCUUUCUUUAGGUUUUCUUCUUUGUUUCAUUAAACGCACCUUGUGGUUGGUUGGUUGACCUUAGUUUCUGAAGUGCAAUUGAAGAACCAGCAAAAGAAUGGUAAGAGUGCAAACACUUGAGUACUUUCUUUUUUUAACACAAUAUUUGCUACUUCUUUUUGUUCUUUGUUGAUUUAAGGUAGGAUGAGUAAAGACAAGAAUGUGGUGGAUCGUACUGAUGGAAGUGAAUCGAAUAUGAUGAACGAUUAUAAAUUCUUUAAGAAGUCAGUCAGUGGUGAGUUACAAAGGUUCAAUAAGACUCUUGAGAGGUUAACUGAAACUAUGGAGAGUUUGAAUGUCUCACAAGCUUCCACUUCUACAAGAAUACCUCAAAGAACUCUUAAUUGCAAUAAUGCCUGUGAUGAUUCGGAUGUGUUGGUUAAUAAUGUGUUGCUUGCUGCACAUUAUGAGAUGCUUGUUGCUAGGCGUGCUUUCAAUAUGCAGGUUAAGAAAGAAAGCCUAGAACAACAGGAAAACAUAUUUCACACUAGGUGUUUGGUUAAUGGAAAAGUGUGUACUCUCAUUAUUGAUGGAGGUAGUUGCACAAAUGUGGCAAGUGUGUAUAUGGUGGAGAAAUUGGGCUUGGCUUCUAUUGACCACCCUAAGCUAUACAGAUUGCAAUGGUUGAAUGAUUGUGGUGAGGUUAGGGUUACACGCCAGGUGGUUAUACCAAUUUCUAUUGGUAGGUACAAGGAUGAGAUCUUAUGUGAUGUAGUACCUAUGCAGGCAAGCCAUAUGUUGUUGGGUAGACCGUGGCAACAUGAUAGAAAGGUGCAACAUGAUGGGUUCAAUAACAAGUACUCCUUCACUCAUGAAGGACAGAAGGUUAUACUCGCUCCUUUAUCACCUCAAGAAGUAUAUGUUGAUCACAUAAAGAUGCUGGAGAGGGAGAGGGAGGCUUCGGCCUUGGCCACAAAGGGGAGUGAGAGCUUGAAUUCUGUGGAAAAGAUGAGAGAAAAGAGUGAGUUUGAGGGUAAACAGCCUGGAAAAGAAUUAAGACUAGUUCAAGGAGGGAAGGUGGAGAAAGAAAAGGAGAAAGAAGAGGCUAAAGUUCCAAUCUCAACUUCCAUAGAGAUUGAAAUUGAAGAGGAAGUUGUAAUGCAUGAAUCUAAUAUAGUUGUUGUUGAGAAUUCCAUCAAUGAACUUAUUAUAGAAGAGGUUGUGAAUGAUGAGGAACAUGGGGAGCACGUGAUUGAUGAGGUGGAGGAGGUGAAUGAGACUGUUUUGGAAGUUGUAGAGGAGAAUGGGUCACAUCCACAAGAUCUUUCUAUGACUAAUAUUUUUAUGCCUAGUUCAGUUGUUCUUGAUGUGCAGGUUGUUGAUGAAAACAUUCAUGACGAAAGUUUUAUCCUAUUUCCACCUAUUCAAAAGGAGGUCUUUGAAGAUACAUGGGUUCCUAAAGCUUCCCUUUUUGACAUAAAUACCAGCAAGAUUCGAGGACGAAUCUUUUCUAAAGAAGGAGAGAAUGAUACGGAUCCAAUAGGGCAAAUUUCUAACAAUGGUGUGGAGCAAACUUAUGUCAUUGAAAUGGAUCUAAAAGGAGUUCAAAAUCAUAUUCAUAUAAUCCAUAUAUAUUUGGGGCGUGCUUCAACUCAUAUGGGACAGAUUUGGUGCAACACUUGCAAUCAUAGGCUUAGGGAGCCUAAUCAAAUCUAUGGGCUAAAACUACGCAAAGGGAAGCCUAAAGUGAAGAUCAAGUAAGGCUUUUGUGAAGAUUCAGCUUUGUUAUGAUGGGUUUGCUAUAUUUUUUUUAUUUAACACUUGUUUUAUUUUAGUUUUGUUUGGGCUUGUAUUCUGGCCAUACUUUAUCUUUUAAGUUUUAGAGUGUUGGGCCAUGUUUUGGGCUUAUGUUUUAAUACUUAUAUGUUAUUUUAGUGUGUGAUUGGGCUUGGGCCUUAUGUGUUUAAAUCAGGUCCAAGAAGAGUGUCUUAGGGUUUUAUUUGUUUUUCUCCUUACUAUAUAAGGAUAAGAAACAAUUGUAAGAGACAGCUUUUAAUCAAAUAUUUCAGAAUUCUUUUCAUGCCUUUGGCGUGUAUUGCUUUGAGUGAGAGUGAGGAUUUGCUUUCAUCAAUUGCACCAAGAAUCUUGGCUAACUUAUCAACUAUCCGUUGUGGCGUUUGUCGGAUUCUCAUCUAAAUCCUUC